AUGCGGCAGCAGGGUUGAUCCCCCUUUCUGCAGAAACCAGGCUCUGUCUAGUCCUCGCUUCAAUUGCCCCAUCUGCAUCUUCGCCCUGAUUGUCGCUGUCAUCCUGCACUGGCCGGCCGUCUAAAGAAAUGUUGGUUUUUACAGAAUUUGAAGAGGAUUGAUCAAUAUGUAUGAAGUCCACCAGAAAAUAUUGCAUUGUAUGGACGCCGUCUUCUUGUGCGCUGGGCUGGUGUCAUCUCUUCUUUUAUAUAUCCUAAAGAAAAAGAGAACGGGCGCUCGAUUGAGACUUGCUGCCUGCUAGGCUUGGUUGAGGGGAAGGGCAGUAAGUGAUUGGCUGUCAGUUUAAAAGCAUCCGCGGGAGAUGGUUCGAGGCGACUGUAACGCCAUGCCAGAGGGGAGCGGCGUAUACUCAGGAGGAGAGGGUCCGCGCUGCAGGAACGACAGCUACGCAACCCUGAGACUGCAAGCAGUGCUUGUGAAGCCAAUGCCCAGCCAAGGCCGUAUGAAGCAGCAGGAGUCGUUGUAUGAAUACCGGCUCAUGAGUAGGUUAGUUAGGGGAUAGUGAUUCCAUGUGAUGUAUAGCGAGGGUUACGUAGUGUAGCCGGUUCCUGGAGCGGGACGCCUCGUUUAUAAGACUAGAGCUCGCCCUCUGGGGCACCUUUUAUUUGUAGUUUUUGUACUGUGUUUUAUUUUGCCUUUUGUACAGCUUGCUGUAUGUGUCCUCUGUGUGUUACCAUGGCUGAUAACGUCACAUGACCACCUUUACUUUCAUUUCUGUUUGUGUUAAUAAAUCCUGCGCGCCUGUGCCGGCG